AGCAGCCGCGGUAAUUCCAGCUCCAAUAGCGUAUAUUAAAGUUGUUGCAGUUAAAAGCUCGUAGUUGAAUUUCGGGAUCAAUUUGCUGGUCGUGCCUCUGGUACGUACUGGUAUUAUUGGUUUCUCCCUUCUGACGAACCAUGAUGUCAUUAAUUUGAUGUCGUGGAGAAUCAGGACUGUUACUUUGAAAAAUUGAGUGUUUAAAGCAGGCAUUAGCUUGAAUACAUUAGCAUGGAAUAAUGAAAUAGGACGUUUGAUCCUAUUUUGUUGGUUUCUAGGAUUGACGUAAUGAUUAAUAGGGAUAGUUGGGGGCAUUAGUAUUCAAUUGUCAGAGGUGAAAUUCUUGGAUUUAUUGAAGACUAACUGCUGCGAAAGCAUUUGCCAAGGAUGUUUU
rnacentral:misc_RNA from 1 species